GAUGAACGCUGGCGGCGUGCCUAAUACAUGCAAGUAGAACGCUGAAGGAAGGAGCUUGCUCUUUCCGGAUGAGUUGCGAACGGGUGAGUAACGCGUAGGUAACCUGCCUGGUAGCGGGGGAUAACUAUUGGAAACGAUAGCUAAUACCGCAUAACAGUAGAUGUUGCAUGACAACUAUUUGAAAGGGGCAAUUGCUCCACUACCAGAUGGACCUGCGUUGUAUUAGCUAGUUGGUGAGGUAACGGCUCACCAAGGCGACGAUACAUAGCCGACCUGAGAGGGUGAUCGGCCACACUGGGACUGAGACACGGCCCAGACUCCUACGGGAGGCAGCAGUAGGGAAUCUUCGGCAAUGGACGGAAGUCUGACAGAGCAACGCCGCGUGAGUGAAGAAGGUUUUCGGAUCGUAAAGCUCUGUUGUAAGAGAAGAACGAGUGUGAGAGUGGAAAGUUCACACUGUGACGGUAUCUUACCAGAAAGGGACGGCUAACUACGUG
rnacentral:rRNA from 1 species